GGGGAAUCUUCCGCAAUGGGCGAAAGCCUGACGGAGCAAUACCGCGUGAGGGAGGAAGGCUCUUGGGUCGUAAACCUCUUUUCUCAAGGAAGAAGAAAGUGACGGUACUUGAGGAAUCAGCAUCGGCUAACUCCGUGCCAGCAGCCGCGGUAAUACGGAGGAUGCAAGCGUUAUCCGGAAUGAUUGGGCGUAAAGCGUCCGCAGGUGGCAGUGUGUGUCUGCUGUUAAAGAGUCUAGCUCAACUAGAUAAAAGCGGUGGAAACUACACAGCUAGAGUACGUUCGGGGCAGAGGGAAUUCCUGGUGUAGCGGUGAAAUGCGUAGAGAUCAGGAAGAACACCGGUGGCGAAAGCGCUAUGCUAGGCCUGUAACUGACACUG
rnacentral:rRNA from 1 species